CGGCGGAUCCGGCCGCUCCGGGACGCUCCCCCCCCCCCACACCCCGCGUGGGAAAAGCCCGGAUUUGGGGGUUUUUGGGGAUGUUUGGGGGUUUUUGGGGGUGUCCCGGUUGAUCCCGGGAGAAGGGCAGCCCGGGAUUGCCGCUGGGAGCCGCCCACGGGCCCGGGAGGGGCUCCCGGGACUCGCCAGACAGGUCCCGCUGGUGGCCCCGGGGCUCGCGGAGGGCGUGGGAAGGGCCCCGCGCGUGUCCCGGCACACGGAGGGGACCGCGAGGGGACAGCGGGGACACCCCGGGGACAGCGGGGGGACGGGGGUGCGGGUGGGUGUCCGUCCGUACCGGGAGAACCGCGGGGAGCUCGUACCGUGGGGUGGCCGUGGGGGGACCACAGGUGGCCUUAGAGUGUCCCCAGGGUGGCCCUGGGGCCGUGGGGUGACCAUGGAGUGUCCCCAGGGUGGCCUUGGGGCCGUGGGGUGACCCCAGGUGGCCUCAAGGUGUCCACAAGGCCAUGGGGUGACUUUAGAGUGUCCCCAGGGUGGCCCUGGGACCGUGGGGUGACCAUGGAGUGUCCCCAGGCUGACCUUGGAGUGUCCCCAGGGUGGCCCUGAGGCCGUGGGGUGACCGUGGAGUGUCCUCAGGGUGGCCUUAGAGUGUCCCCAGGGUGGCCCUGGGGACAUGGGGUGACCAUGGAGUGUCCCCAGGGUGGCCCUGAGGCCGUGGGGUGACCGUGGAGUGUCCCCAGGGUGGCCCAGGGGACAUGGGGUGACCAUGGAGUGUCCCCAGAGUGGCCUUAGAGUGUCCCCAGGGUGGCCCUGGGGCCGUGGAGUGGCCUUGGGGUGUUCCCAGGGUGGCCUUGGGGCCAUGGGGUGAUCCCAGGUGGCCUCAAGGUGUCCGCAAGGCCAUGGGGUGACCUUAGAGUGUCCCCAGGGUGGCCCUGGGGCCAUGGGGUGUCCCCAGGGUGGCCUUGGGGCUGUGGGGUGGCCUUGGGGUGUCCCCAGGGUGGCCUCAGGGUGUCCACAAGGCCGUGGGGUGACCUUAGAGUGUCCCCAGGGUGGUCUUGGGGUGUCCAUGAGGCAGUGGGGUGUCCACAGGAUGACCACAGGGCCAUGAGGUGGCCAUGGAGUGUCCACAGGGUGACCCGUAGACUUUGAGGUGUCCACAGGGUGGCCUUGGAGUCACGAGGUGUCCAUGGGGUGACCUUGAGGUAUCCCCAGAGUGACCCAUAGACUUGGGGAUGUCCACAGGGUGGCCUUGGGGUGUCCCCUGGGUGACCCAUGGACUUGGGGAUGUCCACAGGGUGGCCUUGGGGUGUCCCCAUGGUGGCCUUGGGGCCAUGGGGUGGCCUCGAGGUGCCCACAGGGUGACCUUGAGGUAUCCCCAGGGUGACCCAUGGACUUGGGGAUGUCCACAGGGUGGCCAUGGAGUGUCCCCAGGGUGGCCUUGGAGCCACGGGGUGUCCAUGGGGUGACCCUGAGGU
rnacentral:lncRNA from 1 species